GUUAGUAGUCAUCAUUGUGUGCCAAAAAGUUGCACAAAAAUACAAGAAAGGACUAUUUGUAAAUCCCCUCCUUAUUAUGAUUUUCCCACACCAAACCAGGAUUUCAUAAAACAGUCUCAAAGAAAAGAUGUGAGUAAUUCAAAAAAAUCACCUGUGGAACAAGAUUCCCCAUCUCAUGACAUUACCAAGCCACCUUGGAAAUCUUGGGCAGAACAGUUUGAAAAGACUGUCUUGGCCAAACUUGAGAGGGAGAGUCCAAUUCAAGGUGAUAGGAAUGAAAACAGACAUGGUUCUGUACACUAGCAGAACUCUGAUGCUGAUCAGAAUUGUGACAGUGAACGAGAAGCUCAGAGUGAUGGGAGUGAAAGUGAUUGCACUGUCCACUCUGAAGGCCAUGUGAAUGAUAUGCCAUCUGCACUGUUGACGGAUCUAAUUCCUCUUCAGCAGCCGGAUCGCAUAGACAUUUACCAAAAAGAAGGGUGGAUAGAAACAGGAUUAAUAAAUCAAAUAUGCCUGUUUAUGAAACACCAAAGGUUAUUAAAUUCCUUAAAGAGAC